rnacentral:misc_RNA from 1 species
GAUGAAGAACGCAGCGAAAUGCGAUACGUAAUGUGAAUUGCAGAAUUCAGUGAAUCAUCGAGUCUUUGAACGCACAUUGCGCCCCCUGGUAUUCCGGGGGGCAUGCCUGUCCGAGCGUCAUUUCAACCCUCGAACCCCUCCGGGGGGUCGGCGUUGGGGAUCGGCCCUCCCUUAGCGGGUGGCCGUCUCCGAAAUACAGUGGCGGUCUCGCCGCAGCCUCUCCUGCGCAGUAGUUUGCACACUCGCAUCGGGAGCGCGGCGCGUCCACAGCCGUUAAACACCCAACUUCUGAAAUGUUGACCUCGGAUCAGGUAGGAAUACCCGCUGAACUUAAGCAUAUCAAUAAGCGGAGGA